AGGCCGGUGUGAGCUGUUUGGCCACCGGAGCCAAUCGAAAGCGGGGCCUUGAUCCUCUCCUCGGGCAGUGGCUGCGCCGAGCCAGUGCCGCGCUCCCCGCAGCCCUCGGGACCGGCACGGCCGCCUCGCUCUCUCCGCGCACCGCCGGCCCCACCGAGCGCCUAUGGGCAUCUGCAGCCGGCGAGGGCUUCGCACCACCGCCACCGGCAGCAGCGGCAGAGGGCGGCGACCGCCACCCCGCUUCAUCGCCCCUUGGGAUCUAUAGCCGGCGGACGGAGCGCGCUGCGGAGCCUUCCCCGCCUCCGUGCAGGAUGGUUUGGAAAUUCGCCUUGUCCGUUUUUCUGAUGGCAGCAGUGCUUCGAGUGUCGGACACCAGGAAGAACCGCCCUGCGGGUGCCAUUCCCUCCCCGUACAAAGGCAGCGGCAGCAACCACUCGGAGCGGCGGCAGCAGCUGAACAAGGAGGUGUUGGCCUCCAGCCAGGAGGCCCUGGUGGUCACCGAGAGGAAGUACCUCAAGAGCGACUGGUGCAAGACGCAGCCGCUGCGGCAGACUGUCAGCGAGGAGGGCUGCAUCAGCCGCACCAUCAUCAACCGCUUCUGCUACGGGCAGUGCAACUCCUUCUACAUCCCGCGGCACGUCAAGAAGGAGGAGGAGUCCUUCCAGUCCUGUGCUUUCUGCAAGCCGCACAAGGUCACCUCUUCGACCGUGCAGCUGGAGUGCCCCGAGCUGGACCCACCCUUCCGACUCAAGAAAAUCCAGAAGGUCAAGCAGUGCCGGUGCAUGUCUGUGAAUCUGAACAGCUCAGGCAAACUGUGAGAACAGGCAUGUGGCUGCUGCUUGGUGUUGCCUCCAUCAGCUUUACUGCUGCCUCUCCUCUCCCGCUGAGCAGACUGUCCAUUUUGUUGGUGUGUUUCUUCUUUCCCUUUUUUUUUUUUUUUUUUUUAAUGUUUUGUUUUCUUUCAGGAGGCAUCCCUCCAGCAAGGAAAGGUUCCUUGUCACUUGCCUACUGGAAUAACGCUUUUUAACCGGCUGUGUUAGGCACUUCACCAUAAAUAUUUUAAAUAUCAUCUGGCAGUUGAAUCUUCUGGAGUGGAGCAGGCUCACAGAAGUUUGGAUUGAUCAUCUAAGUGACCAGUUGGCUGAAUCCAGCAUUAAAUGUUUCCACUGUGUGGAGUAAAGCCCUCUGCCCUACACUCCAGUUCCCUCCACAAGCUGAGAAUGCCUUCCCCUUGCUUUCAUCUGGAGCUUGCUUCUCUCACUUGGAAGUGCUGGGGUGCUGCCCAGGACUGGGGGACACGGACUGGGGAGAGUAACGAGCAGUAAUGUGUGAAAAGCAAGCGAGACUCUCCGAUGAGGCUCCUCUCCUCAAGACGGCUUCAAUUGUGCAAUGACAAAUGAUUCUGGGCUUGUUGUCUGAACGGCAGAUCAGAAGCAAGGGGAAGAGGGUGAGGCACUGGGUCAGCCACGGUGACCACAGAGCAGACUGAGGGUGGGUUCUGAUGCUGUUGUGGUUAGAGUAUAUUGAACACAUGGCCUCUGCAGCAAUGUUUAUUUUGUAACCUAGCUAUAGUAAACAGCUGUUUAAAGUAUUAUAGACCUAGCCAUGUAUAUUUUUCUUGUGGCAGAGUAUGCCAGCGAUUAAAAUAUGUUAAGAGACUCAGUUGCUAGGUCGGUUGUCUGGUUUAAAAUGGACAUGGUUUUACUAUGCUUUUGAUAGGUUUUUGUAUGUUAGAUACAUGUGUGUGUGUUUCUUACUCCAAAAAGGACAACAUCCACUUAUGACCUUAUAUUUAUGCCUGCUCAAACCAGGGGAGGUGGAAGGGCGGUGGGAGAGAACACUUAAGGGAGUGAUGUGUCCCGAAAGGUAUAAAAGCACUGUCACACAAAGGACAAAGUUUGGUCAUUGCUGGAUUGAAUACAAAAGCUACAUACGUGUCAUCAAGUUUUGGGAGUGGUGUCUCUCCCAUGACUGGAAACCAUGUUAAUGUGUUAGUGUUAAAGGACAAAUGCCUCAGUCAGUGCUGCUGGAAUGGGUCACAGCUGUGGGAGCAGGGAGAGUAAGUUGUAAUUGCUACACUAUUGGUGGUCCACUCAGUUUUUGAGACCUGCACAAUAAGUGUUGGUGAACACUUUCAGUUCAUUUUAAAUCAUAUUAUAUUGUUAUUCAGUUGAUGGAGUUUUACAUGUCCUCUAUACCCCAUUUGUUACAGUUCUGAUCUGUAUUAGUCCCAGCUGCAUUAAAAUCCUGUCUCAAACCAGCCCCUUCCCCCAGACCAAAGCCAGUGUGCACACACGUGUCCGAAGCUUACAAAUUAAGAAUGACAUGCUGACUCCCUGUGCAUGUCUCACAGUUCAGCCUCUGCAGCCUGAUGCCAGAGCCCCUCCCCACCAGCCUCCUCCCAUGCAGCCACUUCAAGGGGUUAAUGUGCUCAGCACUGUCAGAGCCACAGGUCUCCACUAUGUGACACAGGCCUCCCUAAGAGGCUUUCAGGACUGAUCUCCACCAGAGCUCCAAGCGGUUUACAGGGGCUGGCAUGGGCAGGGUGAGGUUGGUCAGGUCUGGCAGCCCUGUGCCAUGAACAGAAGUCGCUUUUCUGCUGUGACCUUCCAACGUGUCAGAAGUGCACAGGGAGACUCCUGGUGCAGGGAAUGCUUUAGGGGCUCUUGCUGCUGCCCUGUGGCAUCGUGCCAGCCCCAGGAUGGGCACAGUUCAGUCUUGAGAGUGUGGGUGUGGUGCAGAGGGGGAAGGUGGCAAUACAGUCUACUAAGACUCCUGGGGAUCUCAGUCUUCAUUUGAAAGGAAUGAACUGAAAGUCAGACAUUUUGGAGCAGAGAGAGAAAAUCACCCUAGUAAAUUCACGUAAGAAAAACAUGCAAGAAUCUUUACCUUUAAGCUAUGCCCUGCCUGGGUUUUUCACCAGUUUGAAAUAUGAAUAUGCUGCAGCUUAAAGCUCCUUCUAGGAGCUGUGUUUAUGUAAAAACUGAGUUGAGCUUGUAAUGGUUAAAACUGUAUUUAAUUCUUGUUUUAUAAAUGACAACAAAAAAUGAAGAAAUGCUUUAAGUAUAAUGUAAUUAUUUUAUAGGUCAACUAUUAAAUUAUAGAUUAAAUAAUAAAGCUACUCUAGGGUUAUAUGGCAUCAGGUGUUUUGCUUCAAGAGUUUGUGUGCAACUGCUCUCUAACCAGUACAUUCUCCAGCUGCCUUUUCACCCUCCCAAAUAUAGGUGAAUAGUGUCUCACCCUGACAAGUUGGGAAAACCUAACUACUUCUCCCCUUGUUUCCCAGUACUUCUCCUCAGAAGUACCUGGAAGGCAAGACAAAAAACACACAAAAAUGAGAUGCACUAUUCUUAGAUUCUGGAGUUGAUUCUGCAUGCAGUUAUUCUGGGUUUUUUGGUAAACUGCUAAGCAAAGCUCCACCACUGGCUGAAACAUCGCCAUCAUUUACCACAAGAGAAGUAACUGACCUAAAUAAUUUUGUUUAAAAUAUAUAUAGACCCUUUUGUAACAGGUACCAAACUACUUAAAAGGAAAAAAAGUUCUAAGAUAUAGUGAGCUUCAGCUAUCAGAUAUUGGUUGCUAUCAGCUCUUGGACAGGCUUCACCAUACGGCAGUCCAAACACAGGGUAGUAUUUUGGGGUUUGUGGUUUUUUUCUUUUUCCUUUACCAACACAGAGGUAAUGCAGUUUCUCAAGGGAAGAUUUCUGUGUGGAAAGGGAGCUGUCACACUGAUUGAUGAACCUCCAUGUGACCAGAAGAGAUGCCUGUGAUGGGUCUCAAAAGAAGCAGGAGAACCUAGACCACAGCAAGCAAAGGAGGGCUAGGUCCUUUAUGGCACUACACUUGUAGGAGCCCUUUGCUGUCUUCCCUUCCCUGUCUCUUGCCCAAAUCUUCUCACAGUUCAGUGUUUGGAGACUUUAUUUUUUUUAGUAGCAGUUGCUUUAGAGAAUUAGUGUCUUACUUUGCCUUGGCUCCCUGGGUGUGGUCAGGCUCCCUGCUCAGACCUCCUAAGUGCCUGUGUCACUUGGCUCAAAGGGAGCUCAUCGGUCACCUCCUCCUCAAAUGCCCCUCUCUCAUUUCCAGCCAUCUCUUGGCCAGCCUGCUGCUUUUGCAGGUCAUGGAUUGCCCAGCACCCACCUGAACCUCUGCAGCUUGAGGCACAGCCCAGACUCCAGCUCCAGUUCUCUCAGUCUGUUGCUGCCCAACUGCUGUACUGUCGUCUUACCAGAGGCAUAUGCCGUGAUCCAAAAAUCUCCCCCUUGUGGAAGCAAUCCAAGAACAAGGUGAAUCUCCCUGAGUAGAUGGAAAAGCUGUAGGUCAGACAGAUGUAGUUACUUCAUAAAGUGGACAGGUGCUACAGGACAAGGGAAGAGAGCAGGGCAGUGCAUGUUAAACUGAACCACAGUGGGACUGCCACGUUGGCAGUGCCCCAGUUUUGGGUCAGGGGCAAGUGAAAUUUCUAAGAGGGUAAAUCCAAGGAACAGCUGGGAAUAAACAAGGUAACAGUGCUGAGGCAGUAUGGACCCUUUAGUUAAGAAAGCCAUCAUUUUUUUGAGGCCAUGGACUUACCACUGGAUACUUUUAGAAGUAGGUUGGAUGAGUAUCAGAUAGAGGAGCAGAUGGGUCUGUUGUGGGAGAAUAGCUCAUAAAAGCUGUUCUGUAAUGAGAAUCCUCUUGAUGGGUGGCAAACACAAAUGGAGUGGGACAUGGUUUUCUCUUUUCAACCUUUGCUGACGUGUGUACACUAUCUUCAGAAAAACUCAACUUCAUCAGUUUUCACUUAUUCUGUCCACAGCAGUUUAAAAUUUGUGUAACUGAAGUAACUGGUAUAGUGGAUUUAUCACAAAUUUAGCUUUGCUUUUAACCUAGAGUCUGCAACAAAAUAAUUGCAAUGCAAUGACUUGCUGUAUGUUCUCUUAAUGAAAUUGAUAAUUGCUUUCCAGCUUUUUUCAGUGAUCAGAUCAAAACUGAUCACUGAAAACUGGGCAAAAAAAAAAAGUCUGUGGAAGAUCCCUCUAAUUAUUAUUCCCACGGCCACAGUUGGUUAAUACUUAACUAAGUUUUGGAAGUGUUUGGGGAUGAUGAAAGGUGCUACAAAAAAAGCUAACCCACUACAGUGUCAUGACGUGACAAAGUACCAUGCUUCUGAAAGGCUUUAAUUGGCACGCAAAACAACAUGAAUCCUCCUGGCUCUUCAUAAAAAACCAGAUUGUUCUUGCCAGCAAGUCACAUCUGCUGCUCAGAAAAGAGAGUGAAUAUGAACUGAAUAAGCUGGAAGACCAAAACUGCCUUUCUGCUUUCUAUGUGCAUCCUACACCAAGACUGGGAAGAACACAGAUUGGCAGAGUGGGGCAAUAAUAAACUGUUCUUGCUUGUGCUA